CCGCCGCGGUUAUACGAGAGGCCCAAGCUGACAAACCACGGCGUAAAGAGUGGUUAAGGAAACUUGAAACUAAAGUCGAACGCUCUCUUCGAGCUGUUAUACGCGUACGAGACUACGAAGCUCAGCCACGAAAGUGACUUUACAACCCCUGACCCCACGAAAGCUAAGAAACAAACUGGGAUUAGAUACCCCACUAUGCUUAGCCGUAAACAUUGAUUUUACAUUACACUUAAUAUUCCGCCCGGGAAUUACAAGCACUAGCUUAAAACCCAACGGACUUGGCGG
rnacentral:rRNA from 1 species